ACAGUUUAUAGUUGACUUCGUCGUAUUCAGCAGACAUGAAAUUCUUUAUCUUCUUCGCUUUGUUGAUGGUCCUUUUAGGCACCACUUUGGGUGAUGUAAUACAUGUUAUAGGUACCAAGAGACCAACAUUCCAAAAUCAACAACAGCAACAGAAAUUCGGAUCCAAGGCUCCCCAACCUGGCCGCUAGAUAUUUCUUAAGAUUAAUUGUAUGAGUUUGGAGUAUUUCUAUAAAAAGUAUUUGGUUUGAAUAAAUAAAAUAUUACAUACAUCUUAUUUAUAUAAA
rnacentral:lncRNA from 1 species